rnacentral:misc_RNA from 1 species
GAUGAAGAACGUAGCGAAAUGCGAUAAGUAAUGUGAAUUGCAGAAUUCAGUGAAUCAUCGAAUCUUUGAACGCACAUUGCGCCCGCCAGUAUUCUGGCGGGCAUGCCUGUCUGAGCGUCAUUUCAACCCUCAGCCCCCGCUCGCGGGGCGCUGGCGUUGGGGAUCGGCCGUCCUCGCGGCGGCCGGCCCCGAAACACAGUGGCGGUCUCUCGCGGACUCCCCUGCGUAGUAGCACUACCUCGCAGACGGGACGAGCGGGCUGACCACGCCGUAAAACCCCCCACUUCUCCAGGUUGACCUCAGAUCAGGUAGGAAUACCCGCUGAACUUAAGCAUAUCAAUAAGCGGAGGA